AGCAACAAAUGCCCUGCUUCCAGGAAAAGCCUCUAAGCCUCAGGUAACAUCAAAUCGUACCCCAAACCGACACAGGUGGUCAGGUAGAGAAUACCAAGGCGCUUGAGAGAACUCGGGUGAAGGAACUAGGCAAAAUGGUGCCGUAACUUCGGGAGAAGGCACGCUGACACGUAGGUGAAGUGGUUUACCCAUGGAGCUGAAGUCAGUCGAAGAUACCAGCUGGCUGCAACUGUUUAUUAAAAACACAGCACUGUGCAAACACGAAAGUGGACGUAUACGGUGUGACGCCUGCCCGGUGCCGGAAGGUUAAUUGAUGGGGUCAGCGCAAGCGAAGCUCCUGAUCGAAGCCCCGGUAAACGGCGGCCGUAACUAUAACGGUCCUAAGGUAGCGAAAUUCCUUGUCGGGUAAGUUCCGACCUGCACGAAUGGCGUAAUGAUGGCCAGGCUGUCUCCACCCGGGACUCAGUGAAAUUGAACUCGCUGUGAAGAUGCAGUGUACCCGCGGCAAGACGGAAAGACCCCGUGAACCUUUACUAUAGCUUGACACUGAACACUGGUCCUUGAUGUGCAGGAUAGGUGGGAGGCUUUGAAGUGUGGACGCCAGUCUGCAUGGAGCCAUCCUUGAAAUACCACCCUUUAAUGGCUGGUGUUCUAACGUGGGCCCGUGAACCGGGUUGCGGACAGUGUCUGGUGGGUAGUUUGACUGGGGCGGUCUCCUCCUAAAGAGUAACGGAGGAGCACGAAGGUUGGCUAAUCCUGGUCGGACAUCAGGAGGUUAGUGCAAUGGCAUAAGCCAGCUUGACUGCGAGCGUGACGGCGCGAGCAGGUGCGAAAGCAGGUCAUAGUGAUCCGGUGGUUCUGAAUGGAAGGGCCAUCGCUCAACGGAUAAAAGGUACUCCGGGGAUAACAGGCUGAUACCGCCCAAGAGUUCAUAUCGACGGCGGUGUUUGGCACCUCGAUGUCGGCUCAUCACAUCCUGGGGCUGAAGUAGGUCCCAAGGGUAUGGCUGUUCGCCAUUUAAAGUGGUACGCGAGCUGGGUUUAGAACGUCGUGAGACAGUUCGGUCCCUAUCUGCCGUGGGCGCUGGAAGAUUGAGGGGGGCUGCUCCUAGUACGAGAGGACCGGAGUGGACGCAUCACUGGUGUUCGGGUUGUCAUGCCAAUGGCACUGCCCGGUAGCUACAUGCGGAAGAGAUAAGUGCUGAAAGCAUCUAAGCACGAAACUUGCCCCGAGAUGAAUCUUCCCUGAGCCUUUAAGGCUCCUGAAGGAACGUUGAAGACGACGACGUUGAUAGGCCGGGUGUGUAAGCGCAGCGAUGCGUUGAGCUAACCGGUACUAAUGAACCGUGAGGCUUAACCUU
rnacentral:rRNA from 1 species